AUCCAUCUGACGAGUCUCAAAUAGGACGAAACACACGUCCUGGAU
rnacentral:hammerhead_ribozyme from 1 species